GUAAUUCAAGCCAGCCCAGUAAUGACCAAGGGGACUCAAUGGGGAAGAAAAGAUAAGGGCCUUGUGGCAGCAUCGAGAUGGACACAUGGCUCCUUCUACCAUCUUGCAUUAUGAAAAAUGCUGCUAUGAACAUGGGUGCAUAAUGUUGUAUUCUCAAACAUGGAGCAGUCAUGCAUGCAGAUGAUCAAAGGUCAGUUUCCAGACAACGUGAGGUUACAAAGAGAAGUGGCAAUCUGCUACCCAGAAAAUGGUCCACACCAGAACCAACCAUGCUGGCACCCUGAUCUUGAACUUCCAGCCUCCAGAACUUGUAAAGGAAGGAUGACUGCAGAGCCCUCAGAAAACUUACAAUCAUGGUGGAAAGUGACAGAGAAGCAAGCACAUAUUUACAUGGCCUGCAGGAGAGACAGCCAAGGGAGAAGAGAUACACACUUUCAAACAAACAGAUCUUGUGCACGGUGCAAGCUAUUGGUGAAUCUACCAUUCUGUGGUCUGGAGGACUGUGGACUUCUUCUCACAGCUCUACUAGGCAGUGCCCCAGUGGGGACAUUGUGA
rnacentral:lncRNA from 1 species